UUUCAGCUGCUGCCUAAGAAGCUUGGCCAUUCCAUGUUGAGCCCAUGCAGAAUGGGAACGUCCUUGCUCCAGCUGGUGCCCUCCUCCAGCACGGUGUAUUCCAGGAAAGAUGGCAUGACCAGUCAGAAGUCACUGCAGAACUGCACAAGAACUUACCAGCCCAGGAGCUGCACUGCCCAUCUGUAACUCCACUGCUUCCAGAGGUAGCCAGUGUCCAGGAGCACCCGAGAGCACCUCCAAGUUGCGCAGUUUGCAGUCUUCUACCAAAGAUGAAACCAAAUUGAGCUACCAAGGAACUAAAUAACUAUGUCCAAGAUCCAAGGAGGGAGAGACUGCUGGGCUCUGCCAAGACUGGUCUCAUCCCCAGACUGCUCCUCUGACCAGGGAAUCAUGUUGUUCCCUUCUAGCCAAUCCCGCCUGCUUCUGAAGAUUGGAUUAGAGGGUUGCC